UACGGGGGGGGGCAAGCGUUGUUCGGAAUUACUGGGCGUAAAGCGUGCGUAGACGGCUAUCUAAGUCGGGUGUGAAAGCCCCGGGCUCAACCUGGGAAUUGCAUUCGAGACUGAAUAGCUAGGGUGCGGUAGAAGGAAGCGGAAUUUCCGGUGUAGCGGUGAAAUGCGUAGAUAUCGGAAGGAACAUCAGUGGCGAAAGCGGCUUCCUGGACCAGCACCGACGUUCAGGCACGAAAGCGUGGGGAGCAAACAGG
rnacentral:rRNA from 1 species